rnacentral:lncRNA from 1 species
GAAGGGGAGCAUGUGGCUUCUGUCCUCCUACCGUCUAAGACCACCUUAUUCAGAAGAAGUUAGGGCUGGCUUGUGGGAGAGAAUGACAGGUUCAGAAAUCCAGCCAUGACCUCACACAAGUGAGGGAAGAGAGCCCAUCCAGUUCCCACGACUCUUGUACUCUAACUUAUUGCUAUUAGGAUUUUUGUUAUUCUGGUUCUCCAGUCCUCCUGUUGAUGCUUUUAUUUGCUGGUGGAGAAUUUCAACAAACCCAUUUCAUCUCUUUGGACCUUUAUUUUCUUACCCAACGAUAGGAAAUAAUGACAACUAUCUACCUCAUGGGGUGGUUCUACAAUUUUAAUGAGGUUCCUGCUCAGCUUCUCUUCUUUCCACCACAGAGUCCAGCGAGAGGCCAUACCGUGGCAACCAUUGUAAGUCAUUUCUUUCUCUUCAACAUCCCAAAGAAAACCAACAGCUCCUGCUAGUCUGCCUUCCUUGCAUCCUUAGACCUCCCUCUGGAAACAA